rnacentral:rRNA from 1 species
GCUAAGAACGAACGCUGGCGGCAGGCUUAACACAUGCAAGUCGAGCGAUCGCAGCAAUGCGGGAGCGGCAGACGGGUGAGUAACGCGUGGGAACGUACCCUCCGGUUCGGAAUAACUCAGGGAAACUUGAGCUAAUACCGGAUACGGCUUAGCGGCGAAAGAUUUAUCGCCGGAGGAUCGGCCCGCGUUCGAUUAGCUAGUUGGUGAGGUAACGGCUCACCAAGGCGACGAUCGAUAGCUGGUCUGAGAGGAUGAUCAGCCACAUUGGGACUGAGACACGGCCCAAACUCCUACGGGAGGCAGCAGUGGGGAAUAUUGGACAAUGGGCGCAAGCCUGAAUCCAGCCAUGCCGCGUGAGUGAUGACGGCCUUAGGGUUGUAAAGCUCUUUCGCUAGGGACGAUAAUGACGGUACCUAGAUAAGAAGCCCCGGCUAACUUCGUGCCAGCCGCCGC